rnacentral:rRNA from 1 species
ACGUAGGGUGCGAGCGUUAAUCGGAAUUACUGGGCGUAAAGCGAGCGCAGACGGUUACUUAAGCAGGAUGUGAAAUCCCCGGGCUCAACCUGGGAACUGCGUUCUGAACUGGGUGACUAGAGUGUGUCAGAGGGAGGUAGAAUUCCACGUGUAGCAGUGAAAUGCGUAGAGAUGUGGAGGAAUACCGAUGGCGAAGGCAGCCUCCUGGGAUAACACUGACGUUCAUGCUCGAAAGCGUGGGUAGCAAACAGG